GACGAACGCUGGCGGCGUGCUUAACACAUGCAAGUCGAACGAGAGCGUAGAGAAAGCUUGCUUUUUCUACAAUCUAGUGGCAAACGGGUGAGUAACGCGUAAACAACCUGCCCUACGGAUGGGGACAACAGCUGGAAACGGCUGCUAAUACCGAAUACGUUCCGAAAGUCGCAUGACUAUCGGAAGAAAGGAUGGCCUCUAUUUAUAAGCUAUCGCCGGGGGAGGGGUUUGCGUCUGAUUAGCUAGUUGGAGGGGUAACGGCCCACCAAGGCGACGAUCAGUAGCCGGUCUGAGAGGAUGAACGGCCACAUUGGAACUGAGACACGGUCCAGACUCCUACGGGAGGCAGCAGUGGGGAAUCUUCCGCAAUGGGCGAAAGCCUGACGGAGCAACGCCGCGUGAGGGAAGACGGCCUUCGGGUUGUAAAGCUCUGUUAUACGGGACGAAUAAUCUUGUGGUUAAUACCCAUGAGAAGUGACGGUACCGUAAGAGAAAGCCACGGCUAACUACGUG
rnacentral:rRNA from 1 species